rnacentral:lncRNA from 1 species
GGAAGCGCUCUUCUCUGGACCAGUUGAAGCCGUGGAAGAGAUGCAGCAGAGGUGCCGCCGUGGCCCUCCUGCAGCCAUGGUUACUGGAUUGGAGGCUUUCCCUUCCACUGAAGAACCAGGAACAGGUUUUGAAUACAGAUCAACUUUCUGAGAGAGAGAGAGAGUGGGUUUCGUUGAAUGUUAGCAAUGGUUAUGGAUAAUAAAGAUGUAACACGUACCAUCUAUAUAUCUAUGCGUCUUUGAUCAAUUUUGCUCUCUAAAGCUUGUGUGUUUAUUUGCUGAAGCAAAAAAUUCAUUCUUAUAAUAGUAAAGACUAAAUAGUAAAAGGUAUGUGUAAGGUCUCUGCUUGUACACGAUCGACUGUGAGACUGGCCGCUUGUAUGUAUAAGCGAAACACUGGUUUAAACACUGGACUGAGACUAAUCAUGAAUGUGAAAACAUUCUCAGUCAAUAAUAAUAAGCCAAACUAUUAACUAGAUAAACGAAUCCACUUACAACGUUAUUUGAUUAACAGUGAUGCACAACAGAGAGAUUUCUAAGAGAAUGAUGAUGGCAAAACCUGUUAUCAUCGGCGUCCGGAUGGAUGGAUGGAUGGAUGGAGAGAAACUUUCCAAGGAGAGUCAGAGCUGCCCACAUACUAGUCCAAUGAUCAGCUCAAAGUUGUUAAACGACAGAGCGUUUAUGCCAAGGAGGACCACAAACGGUGCGUAGUUUAAAACACGUGUUACUUGCUUGCUCGAGACCUCUAACUAGACUUUCUAGAUUCCUUUCUUGAGUUGGUUAUCACGAGAAGAGAACCAAAAAAAAAAGGAAAAAGCGUUAUCCCACCUCUCUAUUAUUAUUUUUAUCUUCAAUUUCGC